ACGGACUCUGAGAAUUUAUUGACUCGUAUUCCUGAAAAUCAUGCAAAUAUUUCCUGUCAGAGUGAAGAUGAGAUCAACGGAUUUCCAUGAACGAUGCAAACACAGCUCAGUUUAAACAGGAAGCAGCGUCUCCGGUUCUGGUCGGAUCCGUUCAUUUUUAUUUGUCAAUUAAAAACACAAAUUUCUUUGUCAAUAUUUCAUUUUUGUAAAUUAACGGUAGUAAAAUAAGUAAACGUUGGUGCUGCAGAGUCUCGGUUCUUUGCUUCAAUAAAGAAUCGUUUUCAGGUUCUGGACUUUUCGGGUCGAAUAUUUUCGGUUCUAUUGGUCUGCAAACAAAAUUAUAAUUUCAGCAAUAAAAACUAAACCCUUUACUGCAUUUAUGACUUAAUAAAUGCGUUAUAAAACUUUAAAACUUAAACUUCCCCAAACUUUGCGUUUUGUGUCAAAGCACUGAUGAACACUUAUUACCCUGAAAUACCCCACAGUGGGGCAAUAAACACAUUUCUAUUCUAUUUUUAAAAAAUGUAACUGAUCCCAAAGAGAGAUUAACUGAAAUAUUGCUGUAAUUCAUUUUAUUUUCUGUGAAGAGUUUUUGUUGCACAACGGAAGGAUCUCUCCUGUAGCAGUCUGCAUCACAGCAGUUCUGAAGAAGCUUCUGACUGAAGACAAUCUGCGGUUCUAAAACAGUUCUGGAGGAUUUCUCUGUAGAAAAAACUGUCAACACACAGGCUGGUGCUGCCACCUGCUGGAGGUUUCAUCACACUGCAGCUAAGUAGCAUGAAUGUAAAACAAUCUUAAAUAUUUAAAUAGGGAAAUGUUUUAUGAUCAGAGUGUGACGUCAUCGUGGAGGAGCCAAUCAGCUGAUCUGCUGCUGCCUUCAGGUUCUCCCUGUGGUCCAGGAUUCUGAAACUUCUCUGGUCCGGCUGAAUAAAACCGACCAGAACCGCUGGAUCUAUUUCUAUUUUCGGGUUUUAAAAUAAAGAAAAGUUUGUUUUCAACCUGAUAAAAAUAUCUGAAAUUAUAAUUCUGAUUCUUCCUGCUUCGCUCUGUUGUGGAAAUUCAACUAAUUUAUUCCAGCAAAAACUGAAAACUGCUAAAUUUGUUAGUAAGAACCAUCAUUGGCCAAUUAACCAAUUUAUUAUUAUAUCUAUAUUUAACACUUCAGUUGAAGAAGCUGCACCUGGUUCUGUGGUUCUGGUUCUGUCCGCUCUAAACUCUGAUCCUGGUUCUGCUGGAGGUUUCUUCCUGUUUUCCUCUCCACUGUCGCCCUGUGCAUGAUCUGCAGCGCCUCGUCCAGCCGGGUUUCCUGCUGACCGUCAGAAUAACGAGCGGCUCCGCUUCAGAACCACCUGGAACCUGAUGACGUCAUCAUGAUGACAACAGAAGCAGGCAGCUUGGCUCCGUUUCCUCAAAGCUUUAUUUGUCCCGAACAGGAAGCAGCCGCAGGUUUGACAUUUACAGGGGCGGCUUAAAUAACAACAGAAACACACACACACACAUACGCACACACACACACACACACACACACACAGGCUCCCCCCACCCCCCCACACACGG